rnacentral:rRNA from 1 species
GGAUGCGAUCAUACCAGCACUAAAGCACCGGAUCCCAUCAGAACUUCGAAGUUAAGCGUGCUUGGGCGAGAGUAGUACUAGGAUGGGUGACCUCCUGGGAAGUCCUCGUGUUGCCUACC